GAACUCAAUAGCUGUGAAGAAACUCAAGCAUUAGUGCUGCAAGUUAUACUCUCACUAAUUCAGUACAACCAAUAGUACAGGAGUUAGAAAACUUUCCUGGACUUUGCAUGAUUCAUCAGGUGUUGAUCAAAUGAAAAUGCAUCGUUGGCUAUCACAUUUUGAAGACCCUUGAAGUUUGCUGCAGUGAAGAUAUUAUUCAUAUCGGUGAGAAUGGAGAGUUUAAGUUGGAUAUAGAGUCCGAUGCUAUAAUCCAAAAUGUGAAACUGUUAGAGGAGCUGUUGCUUGUCUGGAAGAUAUGGAAUAAAGCAGAGGGCAUCUUAGCUCCAUCUAUGAAGAGAGAGGCCUUGGUGAGAAUAGUAUGAUUAAUUCCAUCAAGUCCUUGGCCUUUUCAUUGUUUAUUACUGUCCGAUAAUGGCAGGAGAAAUACUAAGACCUGCAACCCAACCUUCUUGUUAACUGCUUCGUUGAAAGGUCAAUUAGAGUAAUAAGCAAGGUGUUUGGGAAACCCUGCUAGCGGCUUUGGAAGUCCUCAUCCAAGCAGAUCACCACCAGCAGGUGUUUAACAUUAAGCCGUUAUUGAAAGCUCAAGUGGUUCAUCACUUUCUACUGACCUGUCAGGUUUUGCAGAUGUCCUUUUAUUUGCUUGGUUGGUAUAUUGGACUAUUUUCCAAUUUUUUUUUCUUUUUUU